UGAAUGAAGUGUACCACAAUAAGUUCG
rnacentral:sRNA from 1 species